rnacentral:rRNA from 1 species
AGGGAGGGGUGCUAUACAUGCAGUCGACGAACUCUGGUAUUGAUUGGUGCUUGCAUCAUGAUUUACAUUUGAGUGAGUGGCGAACUGGUGAGUAACACGUGGGAAACCUGCCCAGAAGCGGGGGAUAACACCUGGAAACAGAUGCUAAUACCGCAUAACAACUUGGACCGCAUGGUCCGAGUUUGAAAGAUGGCUUCGGCUAUCACUUUUGGAUGGUCCCGCGGCGUAUUAGCUAGAUGGUGGGGUAACGGCUCACCAUGGCAAUGAUACGUAGCCGACCUGAGAGGGUAAUCGGCCACAUUGGGACUGAGACACGGCCCAAACUCCUACGGGAGGCAGCAGUAGGGAAUCUUCCACAAUGGACGAAAGUCUGAUGGAGCAACGCCGCGUGAGUGAAGAAGGGUUUCGGCUCGUAAAACUCUGUUGUUAAAGAAGAACAUAUCUGAGAGUAACUGUUCAGGUAUUGACGGUAUUUAACCAGAAAGCCACGGCUAACUACGUGCCAGCAGCCGCGGUAAUACGUAGGUGGCAAGCGUUGUCCGGAUUUAUUGGGCGUAAAGCGAGCGCAGGCGGUUUUUUAAGUCUGAUGUGAAAGCCUUCGGCUCAACCGAAGAAGUGCAUCGGAAACUGGGAAACUUGAGUGCAGAAGAGGACAGUGGAACUCCAUGUGUAGCGGUGAAAUGCGUAGAUAUAUGGAAGAACACCAGUGGCGAAGGCGGCUGUCUGGUCUGUAACUGACGCUGAGGCUCGAAAGUAUGGGUAGCAAACAGGAUUAGAUACCCUGGUAGUCCAUACCGUAAACGAUGAAUGCUAAGUGUUGGAGGGUUUCCGCCCUUCAGUGCUGCAGCUAACGCAUUAAGCAUUCCGCCUGGGGAGUACGGCCGCAAGGCUGAAACUCAAAGGAAUUGACGGGGGCCCGCACAAGCGGUGGAGCAUGUGGUUUAAUUCGAAGCUACGCGAAGAACCUUACCAGGUCUUGACAUACUAUGCAAAUCUAAGAGAUUAGACGUUCCCUUCGGGGACAUGGAUACAGGUGGUGCAUGGUUGUCGUCAGCUCGUGUCGUGAGAUGUUGGGUUAAGUCCCGCAACGAGCGCAACCCUUAUUAUCAGUUGCCAGCAUUAAGUUGGGCACUCUGGUGAGACUGCCGGUGACAAACCGGAGGAAGGUGGGGAUGACGUCAAAUCAUCAUGCCCCUUAUGACCUGGGCUACACACGUGCUACAAUGGAUGGUACAACGAGUUGCGAACUCGCGAGAGUAAGCUAAUCUCUUAAAGCCAUUCUCAGUUCGGAUUGUAGGCUGCAACUCGCCUACAUGAAGUCGGAAUCGCUAGUAAUCGCGGAUCAGCAUGCCGCGGUGAAUACGUUCCCGGGCCUUGUACACACCGCCCGUCACACCAUGAGAGUUUGUAACACCCAAAGUCGGUGGGGUAACCUCAGGAACCAGCCGCGUAAAGGUGAACCAGG